GUGGGGAAUCUUGCACAAUGGGGGAAACCCUGAUGCAGCGACGCCGCGUGAGCGAUGAAGCCCUUCGGGGUGUAAAGCUCUUUCGGCAGGAACGAUAAUGACGGUACCUGCGGAAGAAGCUGCGGCUAACUACGUGCCAGCAGCCGCGGUAAUACGUAGGCAGCAAGCGUUGUUCGGAGUUACUGGGCGUAAAGGGUGUGUAGGCGGCUUCGUAAGUUCGGUGUGAAAUCUCCUGGCUUAACUGGGAGGGUGCGCCGAAAACUGCGGAGCUGGAGCGCAGGAGAGGAAAGCAGAAUUCCUGGUGUAGCGGUGAAAUGCGUAGAUAUCAGGAGGAAUACCGGUGGUGAAGGCGGCUUUCUGGACUGCUGCUGACGCUGAUACACGAAAGCGUGGGGAGCAAACAGGAUUAGAAACCCCAGUAGUCC
rnacentral:rRNA from 1 species